AAAUGUGAGAGAGAUCUGGCUAUGGCAUGUGUCACCCAUGAUCACUAGGAUUGGUUCAGCUUAUCUGGCUUGCUAAGCAGGUGUCCCCUUCCCUGGACACUUCCCGAGCCUCCUAUCUCUCUAUAGCUGUGUGUUUAGCUGAAGAAGAAGACUGCUCCUGACAAGGAGGAUCAGCCUUUAAGGCUGUGAGAGCAGCUGUGCUUCCCUGCUGGGACCUCCACACAAUCUCAAAGUGUCUGAAUGACCAGAAGCUGAUGAGAAAGGAACCCUGAAGAAUCCUCCAGAUGGGAUGCUUAUGUUACAG
ensembl:misc_RNA 7SK 7SK RNA